CUUAUUGCAACAGUUAAAUAAUUAUUCUUUUGUGUAGAUUUUCACAUUAGAAAAACGUUGCUGUAGAAAAUUGUAGCAACGGUUGUGGAUUAUAAAUAUUUUUAUUGCAACCGUUUGUAUUAUUUUUUUUUUUAGUUUUUCUAGGAGAUAUUGCAACACUUGUUCAAGAAACUAAAAUGUGUUAAAAACAUUAAAAUAUAAAUUAGGCUAAUUUUUCCAAUAGAGCUCUAUUUUUUUUCUUCCUCUCUUCCAUGUCAGUUCAUAGUUUUCUCCCUAAACCCUUUCAUCUUCUUCGUUCUCUUUCUUCUAUCAUCUUCGUCCUCUUUCGUCCUUUUCAUCUUCGUUCUUUCAAACACGGGAAUUGUGGAUUGGGUAUGUACACACGAGAUUUGAUAUUUACAUUGGUGAUUGGCCUCUGAAUUGGGGUUUCGAAAAAUUGUGAUCGGCGUUCUGAAUUGGAGAAGUACAAGGUUUGUUUAAAUAUUUCUCUUCAGAUUUGGUCUUAAAUUUCGCAAUUUAAGCUGUAUUUUAAAUUGUUAAUCGAUUAUAGAUAGAGCUUUUUGUGUGGUUUCAAGGUUUAAAUUAGGGUUUCUUAAUUAGUGAAUUAUUAUGAUUUGAUUUUUAAUGAAGAUCCUUGUUCUGGUGAUUCAUAUUUGAUAUAACUUUUAUGCAUUCGAUUUUUUAAAUCUAAUUCCUGAAUUAAUUUUGAGUUUCUAUGUAUGUCAUUUGAUUCUAUUGUCUUUACCCUAUACGCUUGUAUUGGUCAACCUAGAUAAUGUAAUUUUGAGACUGUAAUUUGUACAAUUGUAUGAUUUAAUUAGGGAAUUUUUUAUGUUGAGUCCAGAAUGUCAAUCAAGUGUAUAACCUGGAUGAUUUUAGUUGCGAGUUGUGGUACUUCCCUAGGAAUUUCUUUCUAUUCUUGAAUCUCUUUUUUUUCUUUUAAUUUAUGAACUUGUUAGAAUGUGGUACUUCCCUAGGAAUUUCUUUCUAUUCUUGAAUCUCUUUUUUUUUUCUUUUAAUUUAUGAACUUGUUAGAAUUUUCGAGCAUCCUAAUUUCUCUAAAAUGCCAAAAACAAAAUGGGUAGAGUUGAUGAAUGUUUAUAGUAAAAUGAUUGAUAUUGGUAAAUUUAUGUUCUGAAAGUUGAUGCACCUACUAUGUAGAAGAUUGUGAGUAUCUUCUUGCUGUCACUUAUUAGUUGAUGUCUACUUUUUUGAUUGGUUAUUUGCUUAGAAGUUCAGCUUAAGUCUCUUAUUUUUUGUCAAGUUAUGUUGGUGGUGUUUUACGCCCCUGAAGUGAAUUUUAUUGAAAAGACCAUCUUUCUGUUUGUCAAAAACAACUUUUGACAUGUUUCCUUAUUUCCCUUUGUCCAUCUUUAGUUUUUCAUUUUACAUAAAACAUGUUUGUAGCUGUAUUGCAAUAUUAGACUUCGUCCUCGGUGAUUUAUAACGUCUUGUAAAAAGUUCCACAACCAUGACUGGAUCUACUAGGGACCUGGUUUUUCUUCUUUUCCUUUUUGCAACAAGAUUCAAAUUAUGUUUCUGUUUGUUUGUUCUGGGGGGGUCUUAAUAUUUUUUGUUAAAUAAUAGAUAUAUCAUUAUCCUGUUAUUGUCUGUUUUUAUCCCUCUCUCCCUUGGAUCCAGUCUUCGGUGUUUUAUUUUCUAGCUUGACCUCAUUAGCAGCCACGACUUCCUUUUCAUCUUCAAAAUUUACUCUUGUAUUUUCGAGGUUUGAGACAAGAACCAAGGUACACCUAAAGAUCUUGAGUGAUCUUGCCUGUAUGAGAGUCUGUACAUGCUCUUCCAUAGUUGAAUAUAACAUCCUCUCCACUAGUACCAAUGAACAUUUCUUAUAGCAGCCACGUUCUUUGUACUUCAGUUAACAACCUCCGUCUUACUGUCCUCUUUUGCUUCUAGUGUCUACAAGACUACAAGAACUAAGCUCACAACUCACAGCUCACAGUAACAGCUCACAAUAAGAGCUCCAACAUGUAUGCUGACUGCCAACAGUAACCGAGUGCUUGAACCUCUUUGAUGUUCUUCCUCAGUACCUGAAGCCAAAACACCCCCUCCAAAAUAGGAGCAGCAGCAUGAGAGACACAAUCAACACCUUGGAUAGCUUCCUCAAAGCUUCCUUCCACCAUCAAAUCAGCUUUGAAAUGUAAUCCAUGUCCAAAAAUAUAAAGAGUUUAUAUAACAAAUUAUUCCUAACAAAAGGAGCAGAAACUAUGAAAUGUAAUAAAGGAUUGAUAAUAUUAUGGAAGGUUGGUGGGGAGUCCUGGAGACAAUGAAAUGAUCCAAUUAUUCACAAGAAAAAGAAGAAAGUAGUUGCCUAUAAUAGGAAAAGGUUCUUAAUCUAACCUAAGGUCAAUAAGUUUAAUUAUGCGAACAAUAUGAUACAAUUAUGCCAUUCUAAGUUUAUACCUGUGUUGCUAUUGUUUCGGAUGUCGGGCAUUGUGGCACAUUGAGUUGAUCUUUUAACGGUCGUUGUUCUGAUGUUCCUGGUCUGCUCAGUUUUGUUUGCUGAUGAAAUUAUGUUUUCUGCUCUGUUCAGUAAUGUUUAUAACCUGAACUGUUGACUUGUGUGGUAUGUUCCAAAGUUGACCAUGCUAACUGUCAACUGCUGCUUUCUAAUCUAUUGUUUUCGAACCUACAUAUCAAACAUUGGAUGCAUGUUGUACUGUUUUCCUCUGCUAGUUUCCCGCAUCUCAGAGCUUCGUGUUCCUCUUUGCUGUUAGCUAGUGGUUAGAGAUAUCUUUUUCUAUGUCACGGACUUGCAGCCUUGAAGGGAUAUGCAAGAUCAGGCCCGUAUCAUUCUGUUUCCUUUUUGUGGGUGAGAGUUAGUAUUUUCUCAUGCCUUGGAUCUUAUCCUAUUUGGACAUCUUAAAGUGUUCAAAUUGUUUGUUUUCUACUAAUGUUGCUGCUAGUUUCUUUUAACUAUUACCAUUGUAUAUUGUUACUCGUAGCGACUUUAAGUGUACUUUGCUUCACAAGAAUCCCUUUACCCGAGUUGUUUGGCUCUUUACUAUUUGAUCGGGUCUGCUUCUUCAUGUUUGUGUUCAGAUCUGCUGCUUUUCUGAUCAGGUCUGCUUCUUUACUAUUAUGAUCUGUUGCGUUUCGGAUUAAGUCUACUGUUUUUCCUCAGGUCUUCUUCUUUACUGUUCUGAUCUUCUAGUGUUCUGACCAGGAUGGUGCAUAUAUUCAAGAAUUACAAGCUACUUUAAAUAUGUGAAGAUUUAUAGGGUUUUUGGAACAUAAUUAUUAGGUUUUAAAAAACAGAGCUAUUGAACCGUUGUAGACACCUACUUUUGUCCCCAUUCCCGAAAGGGAAAGGUUCGAUGAUGAAAGCAUAAAUCUCCACUUGACAACGCGUCUCCUAUAAAAUAAA